UAACCUGCUAAAUAGCCCGUAUUGCUUUGGCAGUACGCUGGCUUCUUAGAGGGACUAUCGGCUCAAGCCGAUGGAAGUUUGAGGCAAUAACAGGUCUGUGAUGCCCUUAGAUGUUCUGGGCCGCACGCGCGCUACACUGACGGAGCCAGCGAGUACUGGCGCAAGCCUUCCUUGGCCGAAAGGUCCGGGUAAUCUUGGGAAACUCCGUCGUGCUGGGGAUAGUCCUUUGCAAUUAUCGGACUUGAACGAGGAAUUCCUAGUAAGCGCGGUUCAUCAGAUCGCGUUGAUUACGUCCCUGCCCUUUGUACACACCGCCCGUCGCU
rnacentral:rRNA from 1 species